rnacentral:rRNA from 1 species
AACAAACGCUGGCGGCGUGCCUAACACAUGCAAGUCGUACGAGAAAGGGUCCUUCGGGGCCUGAGUAAAGUGGCGCACGGGUGAGUAGCGCGUGGAUGAUCUGCCCUUCAGUUGGGAAUAACUCAUCGAAAGGUGGGCUAAUACCGAAUAAUGCUGUGAGACCUCGGUUGAUAGCCAAAGAGAGCGUCUGCUUGCAAGCCCUCGCUGCAGGAUGAGUCCGCGUACCAUUAGCUAGUUGGUAGGGUAAUGGCCUACCACGGCGACGAUGGUCAGCUGGUCUGAGAGGAUGAUCAGCCACACUGGAACUGAGACACGGUCCAGACUCCUACGGGAGGCAGCAGUGAGGAAUCUUGCGCAAUGGGGGCAACCCUGACGCAGCAACGCCGCGUGAGUGAGGAAGUUCUUCGGAUCGUAAAGCUCUGUCGGAUGGAAAGAACCGCAUAGGGGUAAACAGCCCCUGUGUCUGACGGUACCAUCAAAGGAAGCACCGGCUAACUCCGUGCCAGCCGCCGCCGUAAAAC